rnacentral:rRNA from 1 species
UACGGAGGGAGCUAGCGUUGUUCGGAUAUACUGGGCGUAAAGCGCACGGUAGGCGGCGCAGCAAGUCAGGGGUGAAAUCCCGGAGCUCAACUCCGGAACUGCCUUGAAACUGCAGUGCUAGAAUUCUGGAGAGGCGAGUGGAAUCCGAGUGUAGAGGUGAAAUUCGUAGAUAUUCGGAAGAACACCAGUGGCGAAGGCGACUCGCUGGACAGAGUAUUGACGCUGAGGUGCGGAAAGCGUGGGGAGCAAACAGGG